rnacentral:rRNA from 1 species
UACCUACGGGGGGCAUCAGUGUUUACUCUUGUGCAAUUUUCUCAAGCCUGACCCAGCAACGCCGCGUGAAGGAAGAAGGCCCUCGGGUUGUAAACUUCUUUUAUUCGGGACGAAACAAAUGACGGUACCGAAUGAAUAAGCCACGGCUAACUACGUGCCAGCAGCCGCGGUAAUACGUAGGUGGCAAGCGUUAUCCGGAUUUACUGGGUGUAAAGGGCGUGUAGGCGGGAGAGCAAGUCAGACGUGAAAUUCCAGGGCUCAACCCUGGAACUGCGUUUGAAACUGUUCUUCUUGAGUGAUGGAGA